AGUGAACGCUGGCGGUAGGCCUAACACAUGCAAGUCGAACGGCAGCACAGUAAGAGCUUGCUCUUACGGGUGGCGAGUGGCGGACGGGUGAGGAAUACAUCGGAAUCUACUUUUUCGUGGGGGAUAACGUAGGGAAACUUACGCUAAUACCGCAUACGACCUACGGGUGAAAGCAGGGGAUCUUCGGACCUUGCGCGAUUGAAUGAGCCGAUGUCGGAUUAGCUAGUUGGCGGGGUAAAGGCCCACCAAGGCGACGAUCCGUAGCUGGUCUGAGAGGAUGAUCAGCCACACUGAAACUGAGGCACGGUCCAGACUCCUACGGGAGGCAGCAGUGGGGAAUAUUCGACAAUGGGCGCAAGCCUGAUCCAGCCAUACCGCGUGGGUGAAGGAGUCCUUCGGAUUGUAAAACCCUUUUGUUGGGAAAGAAAAGCAGCAGGUUAAUACCCCGCUGUUCUGACGGUACCCAAAGAAUAAGCACCGGCUAACUUCGUG
rnacentral:rRNA from 1 species